CCCCCAUUGGCAUUGGCGAACACGACAGUUGACACCAAAUAGCAAAAGAGAAGCAGAAUUUAGCUUUAGUCUGGAUUUAGUCGUGGUAGUCGCGAGCACUAGAUAUUCCUACAUUGGCAUUGCUAUAAUACAAGUUGAAAUAACGUAUUUGCGUACACUUCACAAAAGGAAACCAGACUUUCGAACAAUGUCACAUAAGGUUUAGCCAGUAAGGCUUACGCCCGUAUUCUAAAAGCUCACUCACACUCAAUGAGUGGAGGUUCAAUCUGAGCUUCUCUUGAGUGUCAAUGCUGUUUUUGAAUAGCUGGAGGGUGAGUAGUCACAUAGUAAGAUAUGACACGUAAUGACAUAGUAAGGUACUCCAGCUAUUCAAAAACAGCAAUGACACUCGAGAGAAGCUCAAAUUGAACUUCCACUCAUUGAGUGUGAGUGAGCUUUUAGAAUACGGGCCGGCGUUACACAUGAAAAACGUUUAAUACUUACAAAGAGCGACCAUAGACCAGCCGAGGCUGCAGCCUCGCCAGACAGCUUCCCGGCUGAAAUUGCGCCACAUAUCACGGUAAUAAUGGCAAAAACGAGCAUAAUAGAACCCGUUACUAUCGACCCAACCGCUGUACUUCUAGACAUCACCAUCUUGGCAAAUUCUGCUUAACUUUUGCGCUGGAUUUGCUCGAGUAACGAUUCGAAAUGGCCAAGCGUGGCUAAUAUGGUUUCCUGGGGCUUUUAACGCUUUGCUGCUUUUUUUGUUCAGCACCGUUUGAAAGGUUGCGUCUGAUUGACUCUUGGUGGUCGUGUG